CACAGACUGGAGGCCGGAGAGCCUCGGACAGCGCAGGGGAGGCCGCGGGAGGAGCUGUCGCUGCCGGAGGAGACCCCCGAGGAUCUGGAUGAGCUGCCGGAGGGAGAGGAGGAAGAGGAGGAAGAGGAAGAGCUGGAGCCCUCCAGGGUCCCGAGAUCAGGAUUUAGAGGUUCCCCGAGUUUGCCCCCACAAAAGCCCUCAGUUUCCCCUGGGGACCCCCCUGGCACUCCCCCCUUGGCCCCCGUCCUGCAGCUCCUCCGGAACCAACUGCAGGAGAAGGACGCGCUGAUCCGGCAC